UACGUAGGGUGCAAGCGUUAAUCGGAAUUACUGGGCGUAAAGCGUGCGCAGGCGGUUGUGUAAGACCGAUGUGAAAUCCCCGGGCUCAACCUGGGAAUUGCGAUGGAGACUGCAAGGCUAGAAUCUGGCAGAGGGGGGUAGAAUUCCACGUGUAGCAGUGAAAUGCGUAGAGAUGUGGAGGAACACCGAUGGCGAAGGCAGCCCCCUGGGUCAAGAUUGACGCUCAUGCACGAAAGCGUGGGGAGCAAACAGG
rnacentral:rRNA from 1 species